UACAGAGGUCCCGAGCGUUGUUCGGAUUCAUUGGGCGUAAAGGGUGCGUAGGCGGCGGGGCGAGUCUGAUGUGAAAUCCCGGGGCUCAACCCGGAAAUGGCAUUGGAUACUAUUCGGCUAGAGGUUUGGAGGGGGGACUGGAAUUCUCGGUGUAGCAGUGAAAUGCGUAGAUGUCGAGAGGAACACCAGUGGCGAAGGCGAGUCCCUGGACAACACCUGACACUGAGGCACGAAAGCUAGGGGAGCAGACGGG
rnacentral:rRNA from 1 species